rnacentral:tRNA from 1 species
GUAGUGGUAACCCUAGUGGUAAGGGCGUGGUUUUCAAAACCACUAUUCAUGGGUUCGAACCCCAUCCACUACUCCA